AGAGGGUGCGAGCGUUAAUCGGGAAUUAUUGGGGCGUAAAGGGCACGUAGGCGGUUAUUUAAGUUAGGUGUGAAAUCCCUGGGGCUCAACCUAGGGAAUUGCAUUUGAUACUGGAUGACUAGAGUACAGUAGAGGGGAGUGGAAUUUCCGGUGUAGCGGUGAAAUGCGUAGAUAUCGGAAAGAACAUCGGUGGCGAAGGCGGCUCUCUGGACUGAUACUGACGCUGAGGUGCGAAAGCGUGGGGAGCGAACAGGAUUAGAUACCCUGGUAGUCCACGCUGUAAACGAUGAGAACUAGAUGUUGGGAGACUUAGGUUACUCAGUGUCGCAGCUAACGCAUUAAGUUCUCCGCCUGGGGAGUACGGCCGCAAAGGCUAA
rnacentral:rRNA from 1 species